ACACUCCUACGGGAGGCAGCAGUGGGGAAUUUUGGACAAUGGGCGAAAGCCUGAUCCAGCCAUGCCGCGUGCAGGAUGAAGGCCUUCGGGUUGUAAACUGCUUUUGUACGGAACGAAACGGCCUUUUCUAAUAAAGAGGGCUAAUGACGGUACCGUAAGAAUAAGCACCGGCUAACUACGUGCCAGCAGCCGCGGUAAUACGUAGGGUGCAAGCGUUAAUCGGAAUUACCGGGCGUAAAGCGUGCGCAGGCGGUUAUGUAAGACAGUUGUGAAAUCCCCGGGCUCAACCUGGGAACUGCAUCUGUGACUGCAUAGCUAGAGUACGGUAGAGGGGGAUGGAAUUCCGCGUGUAGCAGUGAAAUGCGUAGAUAUGCGGAGGAACACCGAUGGCGAAGGCAAUCCCCUGGACCUGUACUGACGCUCAUGCACGAAAGCGUGGGGAGCAAACAGGAUUAGAUACCCUUGUAGUCCCAUGAU
rnacentral:rRNA from 1 species